ensembl:lncRNA
AAUGGAUAUGUGACAUAACUUAAAAUAUCUUUAAAAUUCGACAUAAAGUUUGAAGAAAAAACUAAAUUAAUUUUAAGUCAUGACAUUACAUUGAUGAUUUAUUAUUAAUAGACUAUGUUGUGUCAUCCUAAAGAAUGUUAAUAGCAAACUUUUGAAACCAUAUUUUUAUGUUUUAUGCAAAUGAUGCCACAUGCUCAACCCAAGCCAAAAGAGUCCAUUGCCAGGUCUUAGUGAUAUUCUGGUCUCUAGAUAUGGUCCGGCUUCCUCCUUCAAUAUAAUCCAAAGGCCUUGAUGUACCAUUGCCCUGUUGGAUGUCUGCUGACUAAUGUACCAGUAAAUGAUAAAAUAAGUAAGAGGGGGUGGCACAAGUCAAGUGGAACUUAAUUACCUCUGACAAGAGUUUUUGAGGGGGAAAAAAGGAUACCAGAUCACACACAUUGGGAUUGUGUGACAACAAUGACCAGCGCUCUAGAAGUAAAGCAAUCCCCCUCCAGAAAAACAUGUUUGCGUGUGACCGAGGCAAGUAAAAGGCGGUCUCCAGGGCCUUCCAUACAGCAAGCGUCCCAUGUUCCUCCUGGGGGUCCGAGCGCUGUGUGCAUCUGGAAGAGAUAUUUGGCUGAGCACCGAGCAGAGGAGCAGCCAACAAGAAGCAGGUCCAACAACAUGCCUCUCAGCACGAGCGGGAAGUCUAAUUUUCACAUCUGCUCAAGUUCCUGCUGAGUUGAGCAACUGCGGUGAGUAACUGGUGACUCAAAGAAGUGCUGAAGUUCAGCACAGAAAGCUUAAAAGCUAUAUUUCUACUGUCAUGUUUCGAAUCCUGGCAAUGAGUAAUGAUGGGACAUCCUUUAAGAUCUUUGUCUUCAGCUAUGACCAUUUAAUAUAUUUUAAAAUGCAGUUUAUUCCAGUGAUCAAAGCUGAAUUUUCAGAAUGGUUACUCCAGUCUUCAGUGUCACAUGAUCCUUUAGAAAUCAAUCUUGUUUGCUGAAUUUGCUGCUCAAGAAAAAUUUAUUAUUUUUUUAUCCAUGUUGACAACCAUUGUUCAGCGUAAUAUUUUUGUGUAAACGGUGAUACUUUUUUUCAGGAUUCUUUGAUAAAGUUCAAAAGAACAGCAGUUAUUUGAAAUAUAAAUCUUUUGAAACAUUAUUAAUGUCUUGGUGAUCCAUUUAAUGCAUUCUUGCUUAAUAAAAAUAUCAAUUUCUUCCCA